CACAAAUCUCUGUUUUGACAAUUUGCUGGGACAUCAUUUAAUCUAUGGCUUGCAAUAUGUGCUAUUGCUGCACUCUGGUGGCAGAACAUUGCAGUAAUACCCCCUAUU